ensembl:lncRNA
GGGAGGAUGAGCGACGGUAUGCACCGUGCUAUAUACACGAUACCGUGGGAAAUAUGGGCGGUGCCCACGCUGAUAGGUGCAUAGUUUGAAUUUUCAGGGACAAGCCUAUAAGGCGAAGCCUAGAUGGCGUAGCCUACAUGAAAAAGAACGUGGAGUUCCACCGGGUCGGACACUCUUGGAUCAGCUUGAGGUCGGGGAGGUCCAUCUGCUUCAGGGUGUCGUGGAGUUUUUUAGCAGAUGUGCAGCUCUUGUGGAAGUACUCCACGAUCGUCUUCACCUUACCAACAGUGGCAGAGAUGACCUUCAGACCACAUUUCACCACCAGGUUCAGAGUGUGGGCAAAGCAUGGUUGACUCGGCAUGAUGACCUUCGAGAUGGUCUUCCUGCUGGGCGGAACAUACCAAGGAUGGAGGGCCUUGGUAUAUGCCCUGAAGCCUGUGUCCUCCACCAUGGAAAAGGGCUGGAGGCGUGUUCCUGAAGGUGGUGCUGAGGCUUGUGGUGCAGAGUUUGCAGCAGGAGUAGCAGGAGCAGCAGCAGCAGGAGCAGCAGCAGGAACAGCAGCAGCAGGAGCAGCAGCAAGAGCAUUAGCAGCAGGAGCAGCAGUGCCCCUGCCCUCCUGUCCCCUCUGCUCCAAAGUUAGCCUUGCAUGCAAUGAAGGAUGCAUAGUCCUCAGGUGGCGGUAGAGGAUGGCGGUCGAGCCUCCUUUAAAAGAGAUUUUCUUUUUGCAGACCUUGCAUGACGCCAGGGCAUUAUUGACGCAAAUAAAGUCG